rnacentral:tRNA from 2 species
GCGGGCAUAGUUCAUCGGUAGAAUGCCAGCUUCCCAAGCUAGAGAGGUGGGUUCGAUUCCCAUUGCCCGCUCCA